GAGACAAAGUCUUUCGCUUCUUAUCUACCACGAAUGCAACGGGAAGCACGAGAUACGACACGGAACAGAUUUUAGCGUUGAUCGAAGGACGUGAGCCCUUCCUCCUAAGGGCUUCUUCUCUCCUCGUUUCCUUUAUCCUUUCGCGAAAAGAACGUUUGGUAGAGAACAAGGUUACGGUAAUAUUCAUGAGUCGACCUUGUUCAAGUCCACGCUCAAAUCGGUAUUAAAAGAGGGAUGCUAAUCAGAGAAACGUACAUUCGAGAUCGGACCUCAAUAACCAAUGUGAACCAGACAAUAUCAAGACUUACGUGUUACUUGCGUUCGAUAAAAAUUCGGGUGAGUACUUAACGCUGUUACGAUUUUGUCGCGAUUAUUCAAAUUGGAAAGUCUUGGGAUUGGACUGGCAUUGUUUCAAAUUUAAAUCAAAAA
rnacentral:lncRNA from 1 species